GAUUAGUCUGGAACUGUUGCAUCCAUGAGCUGACCUAAGGAUAAACCAUGAAGGAGCCUCCCAUGUGCAUUUGGAAUGGAAAAUAUAUAGGACCUUAAUGACAAAUACAGAAGAAAUUCCAGAGUCAAGGUUUUAGAACUUGCAUAAGAAUUUUAGAUCACCCAAGAGAAGGUGACCAGUUUAGG
rnacentral:lncRNA from 1 species